GGAAAGCGUGCCUGUUGAAGAAUGAGCCGACGACUCAUAGGCAGUGGCUUGGUUAAGGGAAACCACCGGAGCCGUAGCGAAAGCGAGUCUUCAUAGGGCAAUUGUCACUGCUUAUGGACCCGAACCUAGGUGAUCUAUCUAUGACCAGGAUGAAGCUUGGUUAAGGGAAAGCA